rnacentral:rRNA from 1 species
GACGGAGGGGGCUAGCGUUGUUCGGAAUUACUGGGCGUAAAGGGCGCGUAGGCGGCCCGCUAAGUCGAACGUGAAAUCCCCGAGCUCAACUCGGGAACUGCGUCCGAUACUGGCGGGCUUGAAUCCGGGAGAGGGAUGCGGAAUUCCAGGUGUAGCGGUGAAAUGCGUAGAUAUCUGGAGGAACACCGGUGGCGAAGGCGGCAUCCUGGACCGGCAUUGACGCUGAGGCGCGAAAGCUAGGGGAGCAAACGGG